AGCUCAGGCCUGGCGCCCUGAGACUAGCGCAUGCGCUUUAGCGAGGCAGUCUCGGGCGCCCAGCUGUCAGAGCUGUUAGCCUGCUUAAACAGAGGAAAAUGGUACAGGCAGAGCUGGUCUGGUAUCAGGAAAAAGGCUGCCUACGAUAAUCCACUGCAGGACCCUAAAAGUCUCGACCUUAGGGCCCCCUCGGACCGUCUCCAAGGUCGGGUCCCGCUGGAGAAGGAGGCAUUUCGAGAGUGUUGGAAACACCUUAUUUGUAGAAUCUACGAAGGGACAUUUUGGAACCCAUUGAGACCUAUAGUGAAACACUGAUUGUUUCACAAUGAAAACUGAAAACGUUAUCUAGGAAAAUGCUUUGCGUGUGUAGAUUCUACUCAGACAGGUUUGAAAUACUCUAAGACAUUUUGGAGCUCUUGGGGCCUAUAAUGAAGAAACGUAUAUCCUGCGAUGAAAACUUGAAACAAGCUACCUGUGAAAAUGCUUUGCAAUGUGUAGAUUCAUCUGACAGUUAAACCUUUGUUUUGAUUCAACAGGGGUUUGGGAACAUACUUUUUAUAUAACUUAUGAAUGGACAUUUCAGAGCCCAUUGAAGCCUAUACUGAAAAUCCAAAUAUCCUGCGAUAAAAACUAGGAGUAAGCUAUCUGUGAAAAUGCUUUGCGAGGUUUGGAUUAAUCUCACAGAUUUAAGCUGUUGCUUUGAUUUAGCAGCAGGUUGGAAACCCUCUUUUUCUACAAUCUACUAGGGUACUAUUCGGACCAAAUUGAGGCCUAUACUGAAAAACUGAUUAUCCCGUGAUAAAAACUAGAAAAAAGCUGUCAGUAAAAAUGCUGUGCAAUAUGUGGAUUCAUGUCACAAAUUUAAACCUCUGCAUUUAUUCAGCAAGUUUGGAAUACCUUUUUGUAGAAUAUACAAAGGGAUGUUUCACACCUAUAAAAGCCUAUAGUAAAAAAGUUGGAUACACUCUUGUUGUAGAAUCUACAAAGAGACAUUUUGAAGUUCAUUGAGGUCUAUAGUGAAAAACCAAAUAUCCAGUGAUAGAAACUAUAAAGAAGCUAUCUCUGAAAAUACUUUAUGAUGUGUGAUUUCAUUUCACAAGUUGAACUUUUCUUUUGAUUCAACAGGUUGGAAACACUCUUUUGUAAAAUCUACAAAGAAACAUUUUGGAGUCCAUUGAGGCCUAUAGUGAAAAACUGAAUAUUUCGCCUUGAAAACCAGAAACAAGCUAUCUGUGAAAAUGCUUUGUGAUGGAAGAUUUAUCUCACAGAGUUAAACGUUUGUAUUGAUUCAGCUGGCUGGCAACACUCUUUUUGUAAAAUCUACAAUGGGACAUUUCAGAGACCAUUGAAGUCUACAGAAAAAGACUGAAUAUCCCAUGAUUAAAACUAGAAACAAGCUAUCCAUCAAAA
rnacentral:lncRNA from 1 species